rnacentral:rRNA from 1 species
GACGAACGCUGGCGGCGUGCUUAACACAUGCAAGUCGAACGGAAAGGCCAUGCUUUUGUGGGGUGCUCGAGUGGCGAAAGCGUGAGUAACACGUGAGUAACCUGCCCUUGACUUUGGGAUAACUUCAGGAAACUGGGGCUAAUACCGGAUAGGAGAUCCUGCUGCAUGGUGGGGGUUGGAAAGUUUCGGCGGUGGUGGAUGGACUCGCGGCUUAUCAGCUUGUUGGUGGGGUAGUGGCUUACCAAGUCUUUGACGGGUAGCCGGCCUGAGAGGGGGACCGGCCACAUUGGGACUGAGAUACGGCCCAGACUCCUACGGGAGGCAGCAGUGGGGAAUAUUGCACAAUGGGCGGAAGCCUGAUGCAGCAACGCCGCGUGCGGGAUGACGGCCUUCGGGUUGUAAACCGAUUUCUCCUGUGACGAAGCGUGAGUGACGGUAAUGGGUAAAGAAGCAACGGCUAACUACGUG